CAUGCCGUAAACGAUGAGUGCUAAGUGUUAGGGGGUUUCCGCCCCUUAGUGCUGCAGCUAACGCAUUAAGCACUCCGCCUGGGGAGUACGACCGCAAGGUUGAAACUCAAAGGAAUUGACGGGGGCCCGCACAAGCGGUGGAGCAUGUGGUUUAAUUCGAAGCAACGCGAAGAACCUUACCUAGACUUGACAUCUCCUGAAUUACUCGUAACGGAGGAAGCCCUUCGGGGCAGGAAGACAGGUGG
rnacentral:rRNA from 1 species